UGUUGUUGUAUCUUGUCUCAGCUCUUGCACUGCAGCGGCAUGGUCCUGGUUCCAUUUUUGUUGCUCUUCCAGGAGUCUUCCAUGUUCUGCUUGCGUGUUCUGGAUGUCGAGGAGAGUGUUGUCGGUACGAGUGAAGAAAGCACCGGCCUCUUGAUAGUAGUCAUUCGUGAAAGCGUAAGAGGCGUCGGAGUAUCGUCCUGCAUCAAAUUGGGGCGGAGGUCUGGAUCCUGAAGCUCCAUAUGGAUCAGUGGAGUACCUGCCCGUAUGAAAAGGUGGGUUUGUCCACUGGUGAUCUUGG
rnacentral:lncRNA from 1 species